AGGCUCUAUUUCCUGGGAGGUGGGCUCAGCCUACCACACUUCCCCUCAGCUGAACCCAGACUAAAGGGACCAGGCCUCCCCCUCUAUGGGAGAGGUAUUUGAAGAAGGAGCCUCACUCAGGCUGGCCUGGCUCACAUUA